CUCGUAGGCGGUUCAGUAAGUCGGCUGUGAAAGUCCGAGGCUCAACCUCGGAACUGCAGUCGAAACUAUUGUGACUAGAGUCCGGUAGAGGAGAAUGGAAUUCCCGGUGUAGCGGUGAAAUGCGCAGAUAUCGGGAGGAACACCAGUAGCGAAGGCGGUUCUCUGGGCCGGUACUGACGCUGAGGAGCGAAAGCGUGGGGAGCAAACA
rnacentral:rRNA from 1 species